GUCGGAACUCUACGGUUUAAACACCUUGCUCGCCAUCCUAAAAAAAAACACCUUGCUCGCCUUGGGAGUUGGGAUAUCUUCGGGGAAGAAGAUGUUUCGAUCUGGGUGCUAAACACGUGUCAUCUUAUGAGUGGGGUCUCACGCGAUUGUAAAAGACACCUGGUCUGGUAGGAUUUAUUUUCGGAGCCAUACCAAACGACGUUUUGCCGGCCGCCACCGACGAGAGUCCGCCGUCGACCGAUCUGCCUCCACCCCGCCUAAGAGGCUCAGAGUUCUCAGAGAGCUGGGCCAGAUCUAUCAAUGGAAGGGGAAUACUAUGAUUCCCUGGUCGCACGAUUUGGCGAACAAGGAUCCCUCAUCGAAGGAUUCGGGAGGGAAACCGAAGGUCCGGACGCAUAUCGGACACAGCUUCGUCAGCGGAUGUCCCAGGAUUUCCUGUUGAGGAACCUGGAAGAGCGGAGGCGAGCCGCCGACGAUGUAUGCAGUGACCCAGCCUCUAAAAAGGCCAUGUUGGGUCUGCAGGUGCUGACCGUGGGAGAAGCAAGGGAACAGGACUGCGCCGUAUGCCUCGAGGAAUUCGUCGACGGCGGCAAGAAGCUCAGGAUGAUGCCCUGCUACCACUCCUUCCAUCAGCGAUGCAUCUUCGACUGGCUUCGCCUUAACCGCAUCUGCCCUGUCUGCCGCUUCGCGCUGGCCCCACAGUCAGACGACGACAGCAACAAGGAUCUGGGACUGCCUGAGAAAGUCGAAUAGCUCGACAGUUUGCCGGAAGUUGAAUUGAAGUGUGCAGCCCUUGCAAGCCACGACUGUGCUAGCAGGUUGUAUUCAUCUUCUUUUCUGUUAUGUUCUGUUUUUUAUUGGAUUAUCGAUCAAAAGCUUGUAGUUUGAACCAAAAUUACUUUUUUCAGCUUGAAAACUUAGUAGAUCUUCUCUCUGUUAUGUACAAUACGAGCAAAAUUUCAUCUUUAUGCAUCAAACCUUCAUUUUCUCUA